rnacentral:rRNA from 1 species
GACGAACGCUGGCGGCGUGCUUAACACAUGCAAGUAGAACGAUGAACCCGGAGCUUGCCCUGGUGGAUUAGUGGCGAAAAGGUGUGAAACACGCGAGUAACCCGCCCUGGAUUCCGGGAUAAGCGUUGGAAACGAGGUCGAAUAUCGGGUAUGACCUUGGAUCGUACGUUCUGGGGAGGAAAGAUUUUUCGGUGCGCGAUGGACUCGCGGACGAUCAUUUUGUUGGUGAGGUAAUGGCUUACCAAGGCGCCGACGGGUAGCCGGCCUGAGUGGGUGAGCGGCCAGACUGGGACUGAGACACGGCCCAGACGCAUGCGGGCGGCAGCAGUGGGGGAUAUUGCGCAAUGGGCGAAAGCCUGGUGUAGCGACGCCGCGCGCGUGAUGACGGCCUGCGGGUUGUGAAGAGCUUUUAGUAGGGAAGAAGGGCUACGGCUUGACGGUACCUGCAGAGAAAGGACCGGCUAACUACGUG